GAUGAACGCUGGCGGCGUGCCUAAUACAUGCAAGUCGAGCGAACAGACGAGGAGCUUGCUCCUCUGACGUUAGCGGCGGACGGGUGAGUAACACGUGGAUAACCUACUUAUAAGACUGGGAUAACUUCGGGAAACCGGAGCUAAUACCGGAUAAUAUAUUGAACCGCAUGGUUCAAUAGUGAAAGACGGUUUUGCUGUCACUUAAAGAUGGAUCCGCGCCGCAUUAGCUAGUUGGUAAGGUAACGGCUUACCAAGGCAACGAUGCGUAGCCGACCUGAGAGGGUGAUCGGCCACACUGGAACUGAGACACGGUCCAGACUCCUACGGGAGGCAGCAGUAGGGAAUCUUCCGCAAUGGGCGAAAGCCUGACGGAGCAACGCCGCGUGAGUGAUGAAGGUCUUCGGAUCGUAAAACUCUGUUAUUAGGGAAGAACAAAUGUGUAAGUAACUAUGCACGUCUUGACGGUACCUAAUCAGAAAGCCACGGCUAACUACGUG
rnacentral:rRNA from 1 species